AAUGGUCACAUGAUGAUUUGUGCAUAGUUCAAAUGAUAAUCAUAUCAGAUUGUUGAUUAAAUUAUUAGUUGUCUUUCGCUCCUAUCUGAUGACCUCC